CACGUAGGGGGCAAGCGUUGUCCGGAUUUAUUGGGCGUAAAGAGCUCGUAGGCGGUUCGGUAAGCCAGGUGUGAAACCUCCAGGCUCAACCUGGAGACGCCACCUGAUACUGCUGUGACUCGAGUCCGGUAGGGGAGCGUGGAAUUCCUGGUGUAGCGGUGAAAUGCGCAGAUAUCAGGAGGAACACCAGCGGCGAAGGCGGCGCUCUGGGCCGGAACUGACGCUGAGGAGCGAAAGCGUGGGGAGCAAACAGG
rnacentral:rRNA from 1 species